rnacentral:rRNA from 1 species
GACGAACGCUGGCGGCGUGCUUAGCACAUGCAAGUCGAACGGAAAGGCCCUGCUUUUGUGGGGUGCUCGAGUGGCGAACGGGUGAGUAACACGUGAGUAACCUGCCCUUGACUUUGGGAUAACUUCAGGAAACUGGGGCUAAUACCGGAUAGGAGCUCCUGCUGCAUGGUGGGGGUUGGAAAGUUUCGGCGGUUGGGGAUGGUCUCGCGGCUUAUCAGCUUGUUGGUGGGGUAGUGGCUUACCAAGGCUUUGACGGGUAGCCGGCCUGAGAGGGUGACCGGCCACAUUGGGACUGAGAUACGGCCCAGACUCCUACGGGAGGCAGCAGUGGGGAAUAUUGCACAAUGGGCGGAAGCCUGAUGCAGCAACGCCGCGUGCGGGAUGACGGCCUUCGGGUUGUAAACCGCUUUCGCCUGUGACGAAGCGUGAGUGACGGUAAUGGGUAAAGAAGCACCGGCUAACUACGUG